UGAAAUAUAGAGAAUUUGAAAUCAAGGCAAAACUAAGAAUUACAUUCAUUUCCGCACUACUGUUGGAUCAGUAUAUAGUGUCAAUUUGUUUACAAUGUCAUUGAUAAGCAUUAACUUAAUAAUAAAAAAUGGUACAAGACUGAAAAAACACAUGGACAAAUACUAAACCAAAAUAUGUGCAAGACUGAAAAACACAUGGUACAGAGCAAAUAAAAAAAUUACUAGCUAGAAUGAAAAUAUAUAUGUUAUAGUGCAAAAAUCAUUUGUAGAGAGACUAGGAAUGUAAGAAGAUAGUAAACAAUAAACGGUUAAAUAUUGAACAUUGAACACAAAGAGAGAGAGAGCCUAGGAAUGUAAGAAGAUAGUAAACAAUAAACGGUUAAACAUUGAACACAAAGAGAGAGAGAGACUAGGAAUGUACGAAGAUAGUAAACAAUAAACAGUUAAACAUUGAAAAUCAUAUAGUGAAUCUGAGAAAGACUCGGGGAGAGAGAGAGAGAGAGAGAGCAUUUGUUGAAAGUAAAAAACAAAAAAGGGAACCAUAGUGAGACGACAUUGUGGGUGAAUGUGCCGAGCAAGACCAAAAACGAAGAGACUAACCUAUUGCAACGGCUGCGGAGAGCAUGAUUACACAGACAAGAAGGAAAAACAUGCGGCGAUAUUUCAACAGACCGUACGCAUAUGAUCUCAACACUUGACGGGCAUCAAUUAUCUAUUGAUGGUAAUUGGUAAGGUAGGAUUAUUUUUUUUUUCCUUAUUUUCUUCUUCUCAAUCGAGAUUGGGUUUUCCAUUUUCAUGUAAAUCCUAAAGGCGUAGUUUUAUUUUGAUAGGAUUUAUGUACUAUUGUUAAAUUAUUUCUGUGUCAAACAUCUAUUAUGUUUCAUUAAUUUGUUCCUAAAUUCCGCAUAUUAAUUAUCACUGAUUCUCCUGGUGACACAACGUACAUGAUGUAGUAGAUCCGGGGCUCUGUCAUCGUCUAGCUCCAAAAACAGAAUGCCUGGUUUGAGGUAUUACACCAGUGCUCUUACAUCUUCUCGUGACCUCUAUAAUCAAAACAAAAUAUCAUAAGAAAUAGUGUAAAUUAAUAUAACAUUUAUAAUUUUUUUUGACGUGGAUAUAUAAUAUUUAAAUUAAUAUAAAAAAGGCAAAAAUCAUUCAUCAUCAUACCUCGAUCCAAUGUCUUACGCUUAGUAAAUGCACCUUACAUGUUCCACUAUCGACAGUGGACUUUCCCGUUAAUAUCUUCCACUAUCGACAGUGGACUUUCCCGUUAAUAUCUUUGUGCGUCUCAACAAAAUCGGAAGUGCACGAAACGCCAUAUUGACUGAAUUGCAUUGUACGAAUAAAGUAAGUGUAACCAAUCAAUAUCAUAAGACUAAAAAACUCACCUUUUUAUAACAAAUUAAAGAAGAUCAAAAGACAAAAACAUUUUCCUACCCUUUUUGCAAAAGCAAGAAAACAAACGAAAACAAAAGAGAGAAAGAGUAGGAAUGCAAGAAGAUAGUAAACAAUAAGUAGUUAAACAUUGAAAAUCAUACCUGAAUUAUUAUCGCAAAUCCAAAGCUAAACGGUGAAAAUAGUGUUCCUAAAAUGAAAAUAAAACAUGAUAAAUGAGUUUGAAGGUGUUAUUAUUAGCAAAAUUAUAUUAGAUAAUGAAAAGAAAAAAAAAAGAAGCAUUUCCAUGGAGUAGUAAUAACCCUAAUUUAGGAAGUGUGAAAAUUCAUAAAUGGAAUCAAUAAGAAGAAAGAAGAAGAUUGAAUUGAGCUACAAACCUUAGAAGAAAAUUCAGAGCUACGAAUCUUGGAUGAGAGAGAGAGAGAGAGGGUUUUGGUGUUCAUAAAAAGAAAAAAAAUGAUUAUGAUUUAUGACAAUGAGUGAAGAGAGGAGAGAAAAAUGAAAUAAUAUUGAAAUGAAGAAAGUAGCUGUUGGUGGGUCUAUAACUACACCAAACCUAUCUUUUAAAAUUAUAUCAAAUUGUGUAAAAAAAAAAAAUCAAAUUAUCCUCUUCCUGUAUAUAACAGAAUAACCCAAGCCCCGAUAGAGAUAUUGUAAAAAUCCUUUAAAGCAUACUAACCAUGCGUUAAAUAAAAAAAUUUGUUUAUUUUUUUUCAACUAAUACUUUGAAUUGAUUCCCAAAUGGGUCUACGAAAUUUACGAAACGAUAAAUUUCAUUUCGAAAAUCAUUUUUUCAACGUACAUGAUUAAGUAGAUCCAGGACUCUGUCAUCGUCUAGCUCCAAAAACAGAACGUCUGGUUUGAGGUAUUACACCAGUGCUCUUGCAUCUUCCCGUGACCUCUAUAAUCAAAACAAAAUAUCAUAAGAAAUAGUGUAAAUUAAUAUGACAUUUAUAAUUUUUUUGACGUGGAUAUAUAAUAUUUAAAUUAAUAUAAAAAAGGGAAAAAUCAUUAAUCAUCAUACCUCGAUCCAAUGUUUUACACCUAGUAAAUGCACCUUACAUGUUCCACUAUCGACAGUGGACUUUCCCGUUAAUAUCUUUUUGCGUCUCAACAAAAUCGGAAGUGCACGAAACGUCAUAUUGACUGAAUUGCAUUGUACGAAUAAAGUAAGUGUAAUUAAUGAUGAAUAAGAGAAUCAAUCAAUAUUCAAUGAUGAAUAGCAUUCUCUGUUUUUUUUUUUAUGUCUUCUUCAUCUUUUUGAGUUUAAAUGCUUUAUCAUUAGGAGUUAACAUUCAUAUUCUUACUUAUUUGUAGAUUAUGAUUGUGUAUUUUUUCAACAAAAAAUGUUAAACAAAGAAAACGUAGUUAGUUUGGAACGAUCGAAACUCUCAUCCUUGUCUAAUAACCAUAGUAAUUAGUUUCGUAUCUAAAAUGUGUUUUUAAGAAAUAUAAUUUUGUCAAAAAAUAUAACAAUAAUUUUGUAGAAUUAAGGACACAAACAUAAAUAAUGAUGACACAAACAUAAAUAAGUCAACCAUUUUUUAAAAUGAGAUAAAAUAAAGUAGUAAAGAAAAUGAAAAAAUUGAAUCAAAGAAAUCAAAAUAUUAAUUGUCAGUUAUAAAUUAAUUCAGCAAAAGAAAAUCCAUUAUUUAAUUUCUUUAAAAAAUUAAAAAUACAUAAACUGUUUAAGAACAUAACUAUAAUUUGAAAUCCAUUAUUCAACCAUCAUUUUCUUAAUAAAGCAAAAAACAAUGAAAUAAUUAAAUAAAAGUAAUUUGAAAUCAAGGCAAAACUGAUAAUUUGAAAUAACCGAUGUGCCCAUGUUUCCAUGUUAGUGAGAAAGAGACACACUAAUUUCAUGCAAUUUCGACAUUUUCUAAAACUAGAGCGGGAUGGUGUGUUCAUGACUAUACGGAUCAAUUCAUCAUGGCGGGAACAUCAUGGCAUCAAGGAAGGUUUACGAUUAUUGAAGGUGAGACUAUGGCUUUGUUGGAUGCAAUGAAGGAAGUGGCUCGACGAGGCGUAAAUUGUGUAAUUUUCUAAACUGAUUCCAAAAGAGUAGUCAAUGCAAUACAACGGCUACAUAGCGGUGUUUCUGAAUUUAGUUCUAUUAUAUGUAAUAUCCAAAGUAUAUUGUCUUUAAAUUCUAACUUUAAGGUGAAGUUUGUUAAGCGACGAGCGAACAUGGUUGCCCAUAAGCUUGCUAGAGCGGACAUUUCUUGGGCUAGUCGCUGUUAUCUUGUGACACUACCUAUUUGUAUUAAUACUACUUUGAUUAAUGAUAUGUUUUAAGUUUGUGAUUGUCAAAAAAAAAAAGAAGAUAAUUUUGGAUUUUAUAUAUUUACCACACACCUUGUUUCAAUGAAAUAGCGCAGAGCUUUAUGUCUAUUUUAAUUUUUUAAUUCUAUUGAGCUGACGCUAAAGUUGGAAAACGAGUUACAGAGCACGCAAGCAGGAAGAAGAAAUGUAUGAAUAUAAUACUAGGGAACAAAGAAGAUCAUAAGACUAAAAAACUCACCUUUUUCUAACAAAGAAGAUCAAAAGACAAAAACAUUUUGGCUUAAUUAGUCUAUUGGUCCCUUAAAGAUAUUUUAGGUUUCACAAUGGUCCCUUAAAGAAAAAAAGGCUCGGAUUGGUCCCUUAANNNNNNNNNNNNNNNNNNNNNNNNNNNNNNNNNNNNNNNNNNNNNNNNNNNNNNNNNNNNNNNNNNNNNNNNNNNNNNNAAUCCAGUCAACUAAAACUAACGUUUUUUGUAUAAAAUUGACGGAAAGGACCAAUUGAUAAACAGAUGUGUCUUUAAGGGACCAAUCUGGACUUUUUUUUCUUUAAGGGACCAUUGUGAAACCUAAAAUGUCUUUAAGGGACCAAAAGACUAAUUAAGCCAAACAUUUUCCUACCCUUUUUGCAAAAGCAAGAAAACAAACGAAAACAAAAGAGAGAAAGAGUAGGAAUGUAAGAAGAUAGUAAACAAUAAGUAGUUAAACAUUGAAAAUCAUACCUGAAUUAUGAUCGUAAAUCCAAAGCUAAACGGUGAAAAUAGUGUUCCUAAAAUGAAAAUAAAACAUGAUAAAUGAGUUUGAAGGUGUUAUUAUUAGCAAAAUUAGAUUAGAUAAUGAAAAGAAGAAAAAAAAAAGAAGCAUUUCCAUGGAGUAGUAAUAACCCUAAUUUAGGAAGUGUGAAAAUUCAUAAAUGGAAUCAAUCAGAAGAAAGAAGAAGAUUGAAUUGAGCUACAAACCUUAGAAGAAAAUUCAGAGCUANNNNNNNNNNNNNNNNNNNNNNNNNNNNNNNNNNNNNNNNNNNNNNNNNNNNNNNNNNNNNNNNNNNNNNNNNNNNNNNNNNNNNNNNNNNNNNNNNNNNNNNNNNNNNNNNNNNNNNNNNNNNNNNNNNNNNNNNNNNNNNNNNNNNNNNNNNAAUGGAAUCAAUCAGAAGAAAGAAGAAGAUUGAAUUGAGCUACAAACCUUAGAAGAAAAUUCAGAACUACAAAUCUUGGAUGAGAGAGAGAGAGAGGGUUUUGGUGUUCAUAAAAAGAAAAAAA
rnacentral:lncRNA from 1 species